CACUCACAUUGUAAAUGCAUUAUGAAGGGAGCCUCUAAUGUACAGUGUGAGCAGGAGGAAUGAUUAUGGCAAGAAUAACCUAUUUCAACAUUCAUUUAGGCACCUGACUAUUGUUCAAAGUCAGACUUGAAAAUUGUGAACCUGUCCUUUAAGUUUUUGCAUUCAUUUACAGUGGAACAAACUACUCCUUCCCCAUCUUAGUGCUUGGAGUCUGAUGACCUCUCUAUAUCCCCGAGAAGGUGUAAUCAGUAGUAAAAACACCUGUGGGUUUUUUUAAUGCCUUUAAAUGUGAUCUCACAUAGGUCUGCAGUCUGCACGGAAAGAUAAAAUGGUUGCUUGGGGGAAAUCAUGCAUUGUAAUUAAAUUUAUCUACAGUUUUACAAUAACAUAGUACAGACAUAUUCAGUUAAUUGUCUUCCUUGCUGAAUGGUUGUUAUGCCUGCUGCCUUAGCUAACCAGGCACUCCAGGGCAGAGGAGAUCAGACAGCAUUUGAACAUAUUUGAUCAUUCGGGGUGGACUGCAGACAGGUCAGGCAUGCCUUGCUGCUGAGACUAUUUCUUUGGUAGGAAGUAGAAAUGAAGAUUGUAAACACUAGUAAAUUCUGUGGAUUAUUCAGAGUAACCAGGAUAUUGUUUUUGAAAGACACAUUGCUGUUGAAUUCCUUGAAAAAAUGUAAUUUUUAUGAGCACCACAAACCACAUCAUUCACUUCCAUUGUAAUGGGGCAGAGGCAGAAAACCCUGAGAGAGGCAAAUAAAAAUAACGGUCAUCAGUUAACGGUCAUAUCGUCCGUUAAGUUAGCCUCAAACGCCACUUCAACCCUUAAGGUAAUUUUCCCGUCCUUGCUGUCACCACCAACCAGCCUGGCACUACACCAACUCUUCCCUGAGGGUUAAUUUCUCUCCUCUGAGAUGCUGAGAAUCACUGCUUCUCUUCACCAAGCCGACCCCAGGUCACUCACCUGUGUGCCCCGAGGUUAAUGCAGCUGAUGCCCAGGUUGUACCGAGACCUGAUGAACCCCGGCUGCAGCUCUAG